rnacentral:rRNA from 1 species
GGCGGCGUGCUUAACACAUGCAAGUCGAACGAGGUCCAUCCGGUAGCAAUACUGGUGAAGACCUAGUGGCGAACGGGUGCGUAACACGUGAGCAACCUGUCCCGAAGACCGGGAUAACACCGGGAAACCGGUGCUAAUACCGGAUAUCCCCAUCUGAUCGCAUGGUCGGAUGAGGAAAUGGAUUCCGCCUCGGGAGGGGCUCGCGGCCUAUCAGCUUGUUGGUGAGGUAACGGCUCACUAAGGCUCCGACGGGUAGCUGGUCUGAGAGGACGACCAGCCACACUGGGACUGAGACACGGCCCAGACUCCUACGGGAGGCAGCAGUGGGGAAUCUUGCGCAAUGGGCGAAAGCCUGACGCANNAACGCCGCGUGGGGGAUGAAGGCCUUCGGGUUGUAAACCCCUUUCAGCAGGGACGAAAUUGACGGUACCUGCAGAAGAAGCCCCGGCCAACUACGUGCCAGCAGCCGCGGUAAUACGUANGGGGCAAGCGUUGUCCGGAUUUAUUGGGCGUAAAGAGCUCGUAGGCGGCUUAACAAGUCGGGUGUGAAAC